AUCUUAUUAGCUUAAUGGUAAAGCAGGAAACUCCUAAUUUCAGGAUUAAAGUUCAAGUCUUUAAUAAGGUU